rnacentral:lncRNA from 1 species
GUCGAUGAUAGAUUCAACCAACUCCAACAAAUAUUAUGACCUAACAGCAAUCUCUUGCCAGGCUAGAAGUACUAAUAAGUUAAUUAGCUGAAUCUUCUAUGAGGAGAGAACUAGGUCAAUUAUCGAGCCAACAAAUAUCAAAUUUUGAAAAUAAUCCAACCACCCACCAACCACCUGGACCUAGUCAACAAUCCAAUAUCCCACCUAAGAAUCUCCAAUUUGAAAAUGACAAAGUAAUCUCUGAGCUU